GAUGAACGCUGGCGGCGUGCCUAAUACAUGCAAGUCGAGCGAACAGACGCUUAGCUUGCUCCUCUGACGUUUGCGGCUGUCGGGUGAGUAACACGUGUAUAACCUACCUAUUAUACUUGUAUAACUUCGUGAAUCCGGAGCUAAUACCGGCUCAUAUAUUGAACCGCAUGGUUCUUUAGUGUAUGACGUUUUUUCUGUCUCUUUUAGAUGUUUCCUCGACGCAUUAGCUAGUUGGUAAGGUAACGGCUUACCAAGGCUACGAUGCGUAGCCGACGUGAGAGGGUGAGCGGACAAACUGGAACUGAGACACGGAAAAGACACCGACGGGAGGCAGCAGUAGGGAAUGUUCCGCAAUGGGCGAAAGCUUGACGGAGAAACGCCGCGUGAGUGAUGAAGGUCUUCGGAUCGUAAAACUCUGUUAUUAGGGAAGAAAAAAUGUGUAAGUAACUAUGAACGGAUUGACGGUAACGAAUAAGAAAGCAACGGCUAACUACGUG
rnacentral:rRNA from 1 species